rnacentral:rRNA from 1 species
UACGAAGGGGGCAAGCGUUGUUCGGAAUUACUGGGCGUAAAGCGCGCGUAGGUGGUUUGUUAAGUUGGAUGUGAAAGCCCCGGGCUCAACCUGGGAACUGCAUCCAAAACUGGCAAGCUAGAGUACGGUAGAGGGUGGUGGAAUUUCCUGUGUAGCGGUGAAAUGCGUAGAUAUAGGAAGGAACACCAGUGGCGAAGGCGACCACCUGGACUGAUACUGACACUGAGGUGCGAAAGCGUGGGGAGCAAACAGG